CAAGUCGAACGGCAGCGGGGGCUUCGGCCUGCCGGCGAGUGGCGAACGGGUGAGUAAUGCAUCGGAACGUACCCAGUCGUGGGGGAUAACUACGCGAAAGCGUAGCUAAUACCGCAUACGCCCUGAGGGGGAAAGCGGGGGACCUUCGGGCCUCGCGCGAUUGGAGCGGCUGAUGUCGGAUUAGCUAGUUGGUGGGGUAAAGGCCUACCAAGGCGACGAUCCGUAGCUGGUCUGAGAGGAUGAUCAGCCACACUGGGACUGAGACACAGCCCAGACUCCUACGGGAGGCAGCAGUGGGGAAUUUUGGACAAUGGGGGAAACCCUGAUCCAGCCAUGCCGCGUGAGUGAAGAAGGCCUUCGGGUUGUAAAGCUCUUUCGGCCGGGAAAAAAUUGCACGGAUGAACAGUCUGUGUAGAUGAUGGUACCGGACUAAGAAGCACCGGCUAACUACGUGCCAGCAGCCGCGG
rnacentral:rRNA from 1 species